GCGGACACCGCAAAGUGAAGAGAAGACGCGUGUGUUGGCAUCCAGGAGGACAAGAACGUUUGCCAGUCUGCAGAAUGUGGCGCGACAGUCCCUGCCCUCCUAGAGGCGCUUAGUGAGGCGGGCAUUUUGAAAAUCCUCCGAAGGUGGUCCUUUUGGCUUUGUGUUCACUUCAUCAUCAAACAAACUGGAAACGCCAGCAGAUCUGCGCCAUUCUGGUCGCCUCCUUUCACUCGUGAAGUCCCACCCUGAACUCGUGAAACAUCUAAAGAACGACUUCAAGCACAGGGAACGAUGGCACCGUGCUGUCCCUCCUCCAUUGAUGGAUUACACCACGACCAGCAUCAUCUCAUUCUUCUACGUGAAGCCUGAAAGCCCUGAGGACUGACUGAGAUCAUUCAUAUGAGGUAGAAUGCCUAGUGGGAUUUGGGCUGGG